rnacentral:rRNA from 1 species
AUUGAACGCUGGCGGCAUGCCUUACACAUGCAAGUCGAACGGCAGCACGGGCUUCGGUCUGGUGGCGAGUGGCGAACGGGUGAGUAAUAUAUCGGAACGUACCCAAGAGUGGGGGAUAACGUAGCGAAAGUUACGCUAAUACCGCAUACGAUCUAAGGAUGAAAGCAGGGGACCGCAAGGCCUUGUGCUCCUGGAGCGGCCGAUAUCUGAUUAGCUAGUUGGUGGGGUAAAGGCCCACCAAGGCACCGAUCAGUAGCUGGUCUGAGAGGACGACCAGCCACACUGGAACUGAGACACGGUCCAGACUCCUACGGGAGGCAGCAGUGGGGAAUUUUGGACAAUGGGGGCAACCCUGAUCCAGCAAUGCCGCGUGAGUGAAGAAGGCCCUCGGGUUGUAAAGCUCUUUUGUCAGGGAAGAAAAGGGAUUGGCUAAUAUCCAGUCCUCAUGACGGUACCUGAAGAAUAAGCACCGGCUAACUACGUGCCAGCAGCCGCCGUAA